AUUGAACGCUGGCGGCAGGCCUAACACAUGCAAGUCGAACGAGUGGCGGACGGGUGAGUAAUGUCUGGGAAACUGCCUGAUGGAGGGGGAUAACUACUGGAAACGGUAGCUAAUACCGCAUACCAUCGGAUGUGCCCAGAUGGGAUUAGCUAGUAGGUGGGGUAAAGGCUCACCUAGGCGACGAUCCCUAGCUGGUCUGAGAGGAGGACCGGACACAGUGGAACUAGGAAACGGUCGAGACACCUACGGGAGGCACGAGUGGGGGAUAUGGCACAAUGGGCGCAAGCCUGAUGCAGCCAUACCGGGUGUAUGAAGAAGGCCUUCGGGUUGUAAAGUACUGGCAUCGGGGAGGCGUUACCCGCAGAAGAAGCACCGGCUAACUCCGUGCCAGCAGCCGCGGUAAUUC
rnacentral:rRNA from 1 species